CAAACAGAUCUAACCGCGGCUGGCCACUUCCUCCCACCCCUCCCAGAGGGAGUCCAGAGGCUAUCCCCUCGUGGCCUGGAUUGAUAAUGUCAGCACUGGGAAGUUUGUCAAAGAUGUUUGGAGAAACUGGGUACUCUAAGCCUAAUAGCCUACGCUACAGACCAUUUCUUGAAGGACAAGAACUUAGAGAUUUCUGAGUAAGGAAAGAAAAAUGAACUGGCAGGUCUGGGUCUCUAAAGAAUAAGCUUUCAAUCUGAGAUAAUUUAUUUGUACUCUCCUUAGCACAUAUAUAUAUAUGGUGGAUAUA